GCCUGACUGGCUCAGUUGGUAGAGCAUGUGACUCAAUAUCAGGGUCGUUGAGUUCAAGCCCCAUGUUGGGCA
rnacentral:tRNA from 1 species